AGCAGAGGUCAGCAGCUUGUGCAGGAAGGUCAGGUGCGAUCAUCUUGCUCAGUUCGUCUGUGAGAGUCAGUGAAUCAGAGGUUCCUGUAGAGGGCGACGAAAUUUGGGCAUCAAGAAUCGAUAUCUCGCAAUCGUUCACAGGCGAGAUGUCACCCAAAGACAUGCCUCUGCAAACAGUUUGAGUCGAGCAGGUAAAAUUAACGAGAGAAAGCGAAGUCUGAUUGCCUGUAACAGUGAGCACGGUAUGGAGAACAGCCAAAUUCCUUUCAAGCAGUAUGUCAGCGGUCGGACAUAGCACAUAGACGCUGUCAGGAACAGAUGGGAACGACAUUAGAGCGACAUGCGUAGUGGCUUGAGGCAACAGGCAGAUGUCUUCAGGAGAGCAUAACCGUGGUUGUGUGACUGGUGGACUAUAGCAGCCGUGGGGCAGUUCAAGCUGAAUGACACUAGACGCACAGUCAAAGAAGGCUGAAUGGGACAAU
rnacentral:lncRNA from 1 species